rnacentral:rRNA from 1 species
AGAGUUUGAUCCUGGCUCAGGAUGAACGCUAGCUACAGGCUUAACACAUGCAAGUCGAGGGGCAGCAUGGUCUUAGCUUGCUAAGGCUGAUGGCGACCGGCGCACGGGUGAGUAACACGUAUCCAACCUGCCGUCUACUCUUGGCCAGCCUUCUGAAAGGAAGAUUAAUCCAGGAUGGCAUCAUGAGUUCACAUGUCCGCAUGAUUAAAGGUAUUUUCCGGUAGACGAUGGGGAUGCGUUCCAUUAGAUAGUAGGCGGGGUAACGGCCCACCUAGUCAACGAUGGAUAGGGGUUCUGAGAGGAAGGUCCCCCACAUUGGAACUGAGACACGGUCCAAACUCCUACGGGAGGCAGCAGUGAGGAAUAUUGGUCAAUGGGCGAUGGCCUGAACCAGCCAAGUAGCGUGAAGGAUGACUGCCCUAUGGGUUGUAAACUUCUUUUAUAAAGGAAUAAAGUCGGGUAUGCAUACCCGUUUGCAUGUACUUUACGAAUAAGGAUCGGCUAACUCCGUGCCAGCAGCCGCGGUAAUACGGAGGAUCCGAGCGUUAUCCGGAUUUAUUGGGUUUAAAGGGAGCGUAGAUGGAUGUUUAAGUCAGUUGUGAAAGUUUGCGGCUCAACCGUAAAAUUGCAGUUGAUACUGGAUGUCUUGAGUGCAGUUGAGGCAGGCGGAAUUCGUGGUGUAGCGGUGAAAUGCUUAGAUAUCACGAAGAACUCCGAUUGCGAAGGCAGCCUGCUAAGCUGCAACUGACAUUGAGGCUCGAAAGUGUGGGUAUCAAACAGGAUUAGAUACCCUGGUAGUCCACACGGUAAACGAUGAA